rnacentral:rRNA from 1 species
CUACGGGACGCACCAGUGGGGAAUAUUGCACAAUGGGCGCAAGCCUGAUGCAGCAACGCCGCGUGAGGGACGACGGCCUUCGAGUUGUAAACCUCUUUUAGCAGGGAAGAAGCGAAAGUGACGGUACCUGCAGAAAAAGCACCGGCUAACUACGUGCCAGCAGCCGCGGUAAUACGUAGGGUGCAAGCGUUGUCCGGAAUUAUUGGGCGUAAAGAGCUCGUAGGCGGUUUGUCGCGUCUGCUGUGAAAAUCCGAGGCUCAACCUCGGACCUGCAGUGGGUACGGGCAAACUAGAGUGCGGUAGGGGAGAUUGGAAUUCCUGGUGUAGCGGUGGAAUGCGCAGAUAUCAGGAGGAACACCAAUGGCGAAGGCAGAUCUCUGGGCCGUAACUGACGCUGAGGAGCGAAAGCGUGGGGAGCGAACAGGAUUAGAUACCCCGGUAGUC